GAGAACUGGAGCAGUGGUGGCAGCAGGUGGAGAGUCUCACGGGGGAGCUCGGGAAGGAGGAAAGGGGUGAGCGUGCCCUGGGGCUGCACGUCCCUGCUUAAGCUCAGGACUGGCCCUUCCAGGCCAAGGACCCCAGCACAGACCCCAGGGCAGGGCCCCAAGGAUCCCAAGCUCGUGAGAGCAGCUGGCUGGGAUGCCCCAAGAGAGCCUGAAAGAAACUCGUUGUUGAGCUGGCAUCGCUGUUUCUUCCAGACUGCUCUCUAAAGUGGGCAGGGUAGCGACCAGCCGGCUCCGAUGGUGACGUCCCACGGCCAAGGGGUGGGGGUGGGGAGAGUCUCCACAGAGCUUGGAAGAAGCUGCUGAGAUGGAAACGUGGAAACUUGGCGGGCAGACCCAGCCUCCCUGGCCGCUGGCCCAUGCUCGUGGCUCCCGGAUGGCGCUGCCCGUGUUCUGGGCAGCUCGGGACAGGUGGAGAUCAGGACUGGCAGCUGCCAGGCAGAUCAGAGCCACAGAAACUAAAGGGAAUUUCCAGCAGGAGGCUAUGGUGAAGUCUCUGAUGAUGCAAAGAAGACAAGGAGAAUGAAAAUCCAAUGAAAGCCCGAUUGUAUUGGUUAACCUUAAGGAGAGUGACUCUAUGGCACAGCCUCUCUGGAAGGUAUGGUAUGUUUGCUCACAGUAUGUCAAUAUCCUUUGACCCAGUGGCCUUUCUGCGAGGAGUUUAUCCUACAGAUAAACUUAGAGUCGUGCUCAAAUAGGUAAGUUCAAGGAUAUCCUCUGAAGCAUUGCUGUAGUAAAAAAAAGAUCAUAGAUAUCCUCCAAGGGCAUCAUUAGGGGCCUAGUAAAAUAAAUUCCGCACAGUGGAAUACCGUGUAGCUCUUCAGAGAAUAAGCAGCUCUCUAUAUGUGA